rnacentral:rRNA from 2 species
UGGCUCAGGACGAACGCUGGCGGCGUGCCUAAUACAUGCAAGUCGAGCGGAUCGAUGGGAGCUUGCUCCCUGAGAUCAGCGGCGGACGGGUGAGUAACACGUGGGUAACCUGCCUGUAAGACUGGGAUAACUCCGGGAAACCGGGGCUAAUACCGGAUAAUUCAGUUCCUCGCAUGAGGAACUGUUGAAAGGUGGCUUUUCGCUACCACUUACAGAUGGACCCGCGGCGCAUUAGCUAGUUGGUGAGGUAACGGCUCACCAAGGCAACGAUGCGUAGCCGACCUGAGAGGGUGAUCGGCCACACUGGGACUGAGACACGGCCCAGACUCCUACGGGAGGCAGCAGUAGGGAAUCUUCCGCAAUGGACGAAAGUCUGACGGAGCAACGCCGCGUGAGUGAAGAAGGUUUUCGGAUCGUAAAACUCUGUUGUUAGGGAAGAACAAGUGCCGUUCGAAUAGGGCGGCACCUUGACGGUACCUAACCAGAAAGCCACGGCUAACUACGUGCCAGCAGCCGCGGUAAUAC